GCCAGCUCAACUCUCCUCUAGACCAGUCACAAAACACAUCGCGUCUCCCUCCCGCCAGCUCAACUCUCGUCUAGACCAGUUCACAAAACACUCCGCUCUCCCCCGCCAGCUCACCUUCCUCUAGACCAGUCACAAAACACUCUACUCCCCUCCAGCCCGCUCAACUAACUCUCCUCUAGACCAGUCACAAACACCACCGCUCUCCCUCCGCCAGCUCAACUCUCCUCUAGACCAGUCACAAAACACUCUCCCUCCGCCAGCUCAACUCUCCUCUAGACCAGUCACAAAACACCACCGCUCUCCUCUCCCGCCGCUCAACUCUCCUCUAGACAGUCACAAAACACCUCCGCUCUCCCCUCCCCAUACUCAACUCUCCUCUAGACCAGUCACAAAAACACACCACCGCUCUCCCUCCGCCAGCUCAA
rnacentral:lncRNA from 1 species